rnacentral:rRNA from 1 species
CUAUACAUGCAGUAGAACGCUGAAGAGAGGAGCUUGCUCUUCUUGGAUGAGUUGCGAACGGGUGAGUAACGCGUAGGUAACCUGCCUUGUAGCGGGGGAUAACUAUUGGAAACGAUAGCUAAUACCGCAUAACAAUGGAUGACACAUGUCAUUUAUUUGAAAGGAGCAAUUGCUCCACUACAAGAUGGACCUGCGUUGUAUUAGCUAGUAGGUGAGGUAAUGGCUCACCUAGGCGACGAUACAUAGCCGACCUGAGAGGGUGAUCGGCCACACUGGGACUGAGACACGGCCCAGACUCCUACGGGAGGCAGCAGUAGGGAAUCUUCGGCAAUGGGGGCAACCCUGACCGAGCAACGCCGCGUGAGUGAAGAAGGUUUUCGGAUCGUAAAGCUCUGUUGUAAGUCAAGAACGGGUGUGAGAGUGGAAAGUUCACACUGUGACGGUAGCUUACCAGAAAGGGACGGCUAACUACGUGCCAGCAGCCGCGGUAAUACGUAGGUCCCGAGCGUUGUCCGGAUUUAUUGGGCGUAAAGCGAGCGCAGGCGGUUUGAUAAGUCUGAAGUUAAAGGCUGUGGCUCAACCAUAGUUCGCUUUGGAAACUGUCAAACUUGAGUGCAGAAGGGGAGAGUGGAAUUCCAUGUGUAGCGGUGAAAUGCGUAGAUAUAUGGAGGAACACCGGUGGCGAAAGCGGCUCUCUGGUCUGUAACUGACGCUGAGGCUCGAAAGCGUGGGGAGCGAACAGGAUUAGAUACCCUGGUAGUCCACGCCGUAAACGAUGAGUGCUAGGUGUUGGAUCCUUUCCGGGAUUCAGUGCCGCAGCUAACGCAUUAAGCACUCCGCCUGGGGAGUACGACCGCAAGGUUGAAACUCAAAGGAAUUGACGGGGGCCCGCACAAGCGGUGGAGCAUGUGGUUUAAUUCGAAGCAACGCGAAGAACCUUACCAGGUCUUGACAUCCCGAUGCUAUUUUCUAGAGAUAGAAAGUUACUUCGGUACAUCGGUGACAGGUGGUGCAUGGUUGUCGUCAGCUCGUGUCGUGAGAUGUUGGGUUAAGUCCCGCAACGAGCGCAACCCCUAUUGUUAGUUGCCAUCAUUCAGUUGGGCACUCUAGCGAGACUGCCGGUAAUAAACCGGAGGAAGGUGGGGAUGACGUCAAAUCAUCAUGCCCCUUAUGACCUGGGCUACACACGUGCUACAAUGGUUGGUACAACGAGUUGCGAGUCGGUGACGGCGAGCUAAUCUCUUAAAGCCAAUCUCAGUUCGGAUUGUAGGCUGCAACUCGCCUACAUGAAGUCGGAAUCGCUAGUAAUCGCGGAUCAGCACGCCGCGGUGAAUACGUUCCCGGGCCUUGUACACACCGCCCGUCACACCACGAGAGUUUGUAACACCCGAAGUCGGUGAGGUAACCUUUUGGAGCCAGCCGCGU